rnacentral:rRNA from 1 species
UACAGAGGAUGCAAGCGUUAUCCGGAAUGAUUGGGCGUAAAGCGUCUGUAGGUGGCUUUUUAAGUCCGCCGUCAAAUCCCAGGGCUCAACUCUGGACAGGCGGUGGAAACUACCAAGCUGGAGUACGGUAGGGGCAAAGGGAAUUUCCGGUGGAGCGGUGAAAUGCGCAGAUAUCAGGAGGAACACCGGUGGCGAAGGCGGGUCUCUGGGCCGAUACUGACGCUGAGGAGCGAAAGCGUGGGGAGCGAACAGG